UCAGUGAUCUUCAAAUUGGCUUUGAGUUGCUGUGCUGAUUGCCCGCGAGAUCGGACAAAUAUGAAGGAUGUUGUGGCGGCACUUCAAAAGAUAAAACGUCAACUUGAGUCUUUUCCGAAUAUCUCGGCAUGAAAGAUGAUGCCAAGAUUUGAAACAUGAAGCAAAAUAAGUUAUAUUAUCCACCUUAAGUAUGCUGAUAUAUCAAUAAUAUAUUAUUAAGA